CUAACGCAAUGUGAUUUCUGCC
rnacentral:snRNA from 1 species